rnacentral:snRNA from 1 species
GGAUGUGAGGGCGAUCUGGCUGCGACAUCUGUCACCCCAUUGAUCGCCAGGGUUGAUUCGGCUGAUCUGGCUGGCUAGGCGGGUGUCCCCUUCCUCCCUCACCGCUCCAUGUGCGUCCCUCCCGAAGCUGCGCGCUCGGUGGAAGAGGACGACGUCCCAGGUAUAGAAGGAGUGUACCGAGGUCUCCAGUCUUCGGUCCCGGGUAUACGAUAGCUGCGCUCCCCUGCUAGAACCUCCAAACAAGCUCAAGGUCCAUUUGUAGGAGAACGUAGGGUAGUCAAGCUUCCAAGACUCCAGACACAUCCAAGUCAGGCGCUGCACGGGGCAGUCUGCCAUUCUUU